GUGAGGAAUUUUGCGCAAUGGGGGCAACCCUGACGCAGCGACGCCGCGUGGAGGACGAAGUCUUUCGGGAUGUAAACUCCUGUCAGUGGGGACGAUAAUGACGGUACCCACAGAGGAAGCACCGGCUAACUCCGUGCCAGCAGCCGCGGUAAGACGGAGGGUGCAAGCGUUGUUCGGAAUUACUGGGCGUAAAGCGUAUGUAGGCGGCAAGUUAAGUUCAAUGUUAAAGCCCACGGCUCAACCGAGGAGAUGCAUUGAAUACUGGCUAGCUAGAGGGUGUUAGAGGAAGACGGAAUUCCCAGUGUAGCGGUGAAAUGCGUAGAUAUUGGGAGGAACAUCGGUAGCGAAAGCGGUCUUCUGGGACAUACCUGACGCUGAGGUACGAAAGCGUGGGGAGCAAACGGGAUUAGAUACCCUUGUAGUCC
rnacentral:rRNA from 1 species